AGUGAACGCUGGCGGUAGGCCUAACACAUGCAAGUCGAACGGCAGCACAGAGGAGCUUGCUCCUUGGGUGGCGAGUGGCGGACGGGUGAGGAAUACAUCGGAAUCUACUCUGUCGUGGGGGAUAACGUAGGGAAACUUACGCUAAUACCGCAUACGACCUACGGGUGAAAGCAGGGGACCUUCGGGCCUUGCGCGAUUGAAUGAGCCGAGGUCGGAUUAGCUAGUUGGCGGGGUAAAGGCCAACCAAGGCGACGAUCCGUAGCUGGUCUGAGAGGAUGAUCAGCCACACUGGAACUGAGACACGGUCCAGACUCCUACGGGAGGCAGCAGUGGGGAAUAUUGGACAAUGGGCGCAAGCCUGAUCCAGCCAUACCGCGUGGGUGAAGAAGGCCUUCGGGUUGUAAAGCCCUUUUGUUGGGAAAGAAAUCCAGCUGGCUAAUACCCGGUUGGGAUGACGGUACCCAAAGAAUAAGCACCGGCUAACUUCGUGCCAGCCGCCGCAGUAA
rnacentral:rRNA from 1 species